CAGCCGUAAACGAUACUCGCUAGGUGUCGGCCACGGUGCGACCGUUGUCGGUGCCGUAGGGAAGCCGUGAAGCGAGCCACCUGGGAAGUACGGCCGCAAGGCUGAAACUUAAAGGAAUUGGCGGGGGAGCACCACAACGGGUGGAGCUUGCGGUUUAAUUGGACUCAACGCCGGGAAGCUCACCGGAUAAGACAGCGGAAUGAUUGCCGGGCUGAAGACCCUGCAUGACCAGCUGAGAGGAGGUGCAUGGCGUAGUCGUGU
rnacentral:rRNA from 1 species